rnacentral:tRNA from 1 species
GAAAUAAUCCUUAUUUAAAGCUUCUAACUUUAACUCGUAAUGUUCUAAAAUACAUUAUUAUUUCA